rnacentral:rRNA from 1 species
GGUUAAGCGACUAAGCGUACACGGUGGAUGCCCUGGCAGUCAGAGGCGAUGAAGGGCGUGCUAAUCUGCGAUAAGCGCCGGUAAGGUGAUAUGAACCGUUAUAACCGGCGAUACCCGAAUGGGGAAACCCAGUGUGACUCGUCACACUAUCAUUAACUGAAUCCAUAGGUUAAUGAGGCGAACCGGGGGAACUGAAACAUCUAAGUACCCCGAGGAAAAGAAAUCAACCGAGAUUCCCCCAGUAGCGGCGAGCGAACGGGGAGGAGCCCAGAGCCUGAAUCAGCAUGUGUGUUAGUGGAAGCGUCUGGAAAGGCGCGCGAUACAGGGUGACAGCCCCGUACACAAAAGCGCAUGUGCUGUGAGCUCGAUGAGUAGGGCGGGACACGUGGUAUCCUGUCUGAAUAUGGGGGGACCAUCCUCCAAGGCUAAAUACUCCUGACUGACCGAUAGUGAACCAGUACCGUGAGGGAAAGGCGAAAAGAACCCCGGCGAGGGGAGUGAAAAAGAACCUGAAACCGUGUACGUACAAGCAGUGGGAGCACCCUUCGGGGUGUGACUGCGUACCUUUUGUAUAAUGGGUCAGCGACUUAUAUUCUGUAGCAAGGUUAACCGAAUAGGGGAGCCGUAGGGAAACCGAGUCUUAACCGGGCGUUAAGUUGCAGGGUAUAGACCCGAAACCCGGUGAUCUAGCCAUGGGCAGGUUGAAGGUUGGGUAACACUAACUGGAGGACCGAACCGACUAAUGUUGAAAAAUUAGCGGAUGACCUGUGGCUGGGGGUGAAAGGCCAAUCAAACCGGGAGAUAGCUGGUUCUCCCCGAAAGCUAUUUAGGUAGCGCCUCGUGAAUUCAUCUCCGGGGGUAGAGCACUGUUUCGGCUAGGGGGCCAUCCCGGCUUACCAACCCGAUGCAAACUGCGAAUACCGGAGAAUGUUAUCACGGGAGACACACGGCGGGUGCUAACGUCCGUCGUGAAGAGGGAAACAACCCAGACCGCCAGCUAAGGUCCCAAAGUCAUGGUUAAGUGGGAAACGAUGUGGGAAGGCCCAGACAGCCAGGAUGUUGGCUUAGAAGCAGCCAUCAUUUAAAGAAAGCGUAAUAGCUCACUGGUCGAGUCGGCCUGCGCGGAAGAUGUAACGGGGCUAAACCAUGCACCGAAGCUGCGGCAGCGAACGUAUCACUUAAAGCGAUUCAGCGGGUUACGAUUGACGGAGCGAAGCGACGUCAAAGCGUAUACAAAGUCGAGUCGGUUUAAGGAUACGUUCGUUGGGUAGGGGAGCGUUCUGUAAGCCUGUGAAGGUGGCCUGUGAGGGUUGCUGGAGGUAUCAGAAGUGCGAAUGCUGACAUAAGUAACGAUAAAGCGGGUGAAAAGCCCGCUCGCCGGAAGACCAAGGGUUCCUGUCCAACGUUAAUCGGGGCAGGGUGAGUCGACCCCUAAGGCGAGGCCGAAAGGCGUAGUCGAUGGGAAACGGGUUAAUAUUCCCGUACUUGGUGUUACUGCGAAGGGGGGACGGAGAAGGCUAUGUUGGCCGGGCGACGGUUGUCCCGGUUUAAGCGUGUAGGCUGGUUUUCCAGGCAAAUCCGGAAAAUCAAGGCUGAGGCGUGACGACGAGGCACUACGGUGCUGAAGCAACAAAUGCCCUGCUUCCAGGAAAAGCCUCUAAGCAUCAGGUAACAUCAAAUCGUACCCCAAACCGACACAGGUGGUCAGGUAGAGAAUACCAAGGCGCUUGAGAGAACUCGGGUGAAGGAACUAGGCAAAAUGGUGCCGUAACUUCGGGAGAAGGCACGCUGACACGUAGGUGAAGUGAUUUACUCAUGGAGCUGAAGUCAGUCGAAGAUACCAGCUGGCUGCAACUGUUUAUUAAAAACACAGCACUGUGCAAACACGAAAGUGGACGUAUACGGUGUGACGCCUGCCCGGUGCCGGAAGGUUAAUUGAUGGGGUCAGCGCAAGCGAAGCUCCUGAUCGAAGCCCCGGUAAACGGCGGCCGUAACUAUAACGGUCCUAAGGUAGCGAAAUUCCUUGUCGGGUAAGUUCCGACCUGCACGAAUGGCGUAAUGAUGGCCAGGCUGUCUCCACCCGAGACUCAGUGAAAUUGAACUCGCUGUGAAGAUGCAGUGUACCCGCGGCAAGACGGAAAGACCCCGUGAACCUUUACUAUAGCUUGACACUGAACAUUGAGCCUUGAUGUGUAGGAUAGGUGGGAGGCUUUGAAGCGUGGACGCCAGUCUGCGUGGAGCCGACCUUGAAAUACCACCCUUUAAUGUUUGAUGUUCUAACGUGGACCCGUAAUCCGGGUUGCGGACAGUGUCUGGUGGGUAGUUUGACUGGGGCGGUCUCCUCCUAAAGAGUAACGGAGGAGCACGAAGGUUGGCUAAUCCUGGUCGGACAUCAGGAGGUUAGUGCAAUGGCAUAAGCCAGCUUGACUGCGAGCGUGACGGCGCGAGCAGGUGCGAAAGCAGGUCAUAGUGAUCCGGUGGUUCUGAAUGGAAGGGCCAUCGCUCAACGGAUAAAAGGUACUCCGGGGAUAACAGGCUGAUACCGCCCAAGAGUUCAUAUCGACGGCGGUGUUUGGCACCUCGAUGUCGGCUCAUCACAUCCUGGGGCUGAAGUAGGUCCCAAGGGUAUGGCUGUUCGCCAUUUAAAGUGGUACGCGAGCUGGGUUUAGAACGUCGUGAGACAGUUCGGUCCCUAUCUGCCGUGGGCGCUGGAGAACUGAGGGGGGCUGCUCCUAGUACGAGAGGACCGGAGUGGACGCAUCACUGGUGUUCGGGUUGUCAUGCCAAUGGCACUGCCCGGUAGCUAAAUGCGGAAGAGAUAAGUGCUGAAAGCAUCUAAGCACGAAACUUGCCCCGAGAUGAGUUCUCCCUGAGACUUUAGGUCUCCUGAAGGAACGUUGAAGACGACGACGUUGAUAGGCCGGGUGUGUAAGCGCAGCGAUGCGUUGAGCUAACCGGUACUAAUGAACCGUGAGGCUUAACCUU